rnacentral:misc_RNA from 1 species
AACUUCCAAGUACGUUAGACGCACCCAGAGCCAGCAUCUCCUGGGUGGCGUCCAAGGACCGCCCCUUCGCUGGGCGGAGGAUAAAAAUAAAAACUCACCGAAGGCCUUGGCUAUGGCGAUGCUCUCCAGAAUAGCGAUCAGGGGUACCGAUAUCAACGAACUUCCCAAUUCGCUCGCCGUCUCACCGAAGUUGUACGUCCGAUUGUUGUAAUAUAUGGAAAACGGCGGUAAUCCGAAUGGCGGUAGACCCUCGGCGAUCGUCCCGAUUGUAUUAUUGUACGAACAUCGCGUGCUGAAUAAACUUGAACUUCUGAUAAACGAUAGUCCAGCUGAUGAUGACGGAUGGCGUGUGCUGGACGAAACGGAAAAGGAAAAUGAAAAAAGGAGAAGAUAAGCGACGAGAAAAACGAACUUCGAAGAAGAAAAGAUUCAAGUAUUUACGGAAAAAUAAAAAACAGAGUCGAAGCCGAACGAUUCGUUUGAGGAUAUGAUGAAUGGAUACUCACUCGUAACUAACACCUGAAGUGAACUGCAGUCACUGGAAUUUUCUCUUUCCGAUGAUGACAUUCUCUUACUAGUAUCGGAUGUUCGGAAUUUCAAUUAAUCAAUUAUCUACGUGAAGAUAUUCUUCUUGUACACACAAUCGAUGAACACGCAUCAGGUUUACGGACAAAAGUUUGGUCGCGUUACAUCACAUGAUUGGAACUGAGAGGAUUUUCGAGCGUGUUGCACAUUUUAAUUACACCGGCGAUGGAUAAUUCGAGCCGAUGAUUUCGAUCGGCGCGAGUUCGAUUAUAAAUUUUCGUUAUUGCCCUUUGUAAUCUUACGUGUUUUUGUAUUUUUUUUUUUUUUUUACUUCAUUCGUCGCUCCGCGUAACAACGAAUUUAUCAAUUUGCUCCUCCUUUCGUUUGAAGUUAUACGAUAUUUUUUUUUUGUAAAUCGCCAAUCGCUCGCCGACAUGACAAAGUACAACUUGAACGAGGAAGAAACAUCCGCGGCAGUAGCUGCCGGGGAUCGUCAAAUUAACAAGGACGUUAGAUUGACCGGUUUUAAACCGGCGGAUAAUAUCGUUGGAGGAAUUUUUGACGAGCCUCGAACAACGUUCGAUAUGUCAAACAGACUUGGGGGGAUCAACAUCGAAACGGAAACGAACAAAGUCACUAUUUCCGAAAUAUCUGCACCGCCAAACGAUCCGGAACGAGGACUCGGCUGUUCUUCCGGUCCAAAAUGGGUUUUGCGAAGAGUGAGGAGGUCGUGCACAAAAAAAAUACUCUACAGAAGGAUACCGGUUUUCGAUUGGCUUCCGAGAUACAACAAAGAAUUUGCCAUUUCCGAUUUAGUCGCCGGUAUCACCGUCGGUCUUACGGUGAUACCGCAAGCGAUUGCGUACGCCAGCGUCGCCGGCCUUCCUACACAGUACGGUCUUUAUUCCUCAUUCAUGGCGUGUUUCGUCUACACGAUAUUGGGACCGUCCAAGGACGUUCCGGUCGGCCCGACCGCCAUAGCGGCGAUCCUGACCAAAGAGACGCUGCAAAGAUCAAAUUUGGGAGCCGAGUUUGCGGUCGCUUUGACCUUCGUGUCCGGCUGCGUCACCUUGAUGAUGGGAAUAUUGCAGUUGGGAUUUUUAAUAGAUUUUAUCUCCGGUCCCGUUUCGGUCGGAUUUACGUCAGCGGCGGCAAUAAUCAUAGCUACUUCGCAAGUCAAGGAUAUUCUGGGACUGAAUUUUAACGCUUUGAAAUUCCUGGAUUCUUGGAAAGCCAUUUUUGAACACAUCGGCGAGACCAAACUAUGGGACGCUGUACUCGGAGUCACCUGUAUGGCCGUCCUCCUCGUUCUCAGGGUGAGUUUAUGGGUUCCUCGUCAAAAUUUUUUUUUGCAAAUAAAAAUUCCGCUAUUUUUCACUCGUUCGCUAUUUAUUCCUUUCCGCAUGAUAAUUUUUUACUUGCAGAAACUCAAGGACAUACGGGUGACCUCCAAAGACGCCAAAGAACCGACGCCCGUCCAGAAGGUCGUUAUAAAUUGCCUCUGGUUUAUGUCAACGGCGCGAAAUAUAUUCGUCGUAAUAAUUUGCGGCGUCGGUUGUUACCUAUUGGAAUAUCAUUUGGGCAGUUCCCCUGUAGUAUUGUCGGGGUACGUGAAGCCGGGACUACCGAAAUUUCAACCUCCGCCCGUCAACGCCGUCGUAGGCAACGAAACGUAUAAUUUCGGCGAGAUGGUUUCCGCUCUGGGAUCCGGAUGUUUCGUUGUACCGUUAAUCAGUCUUCUGGAAACAAUCGCCAUCUCGAAAGUAUUUUCGGACGGAAAACCCAUAGAUGCAACGCAGGAGAUGCUGGCUUUGGGCGCGUGCAACAUCCUCUCAUCCUUCGUGUCUUCAAUUCCGGUUAGCGGAGGUCUCAGUCGAGGUGCGGUGAACAACGCGUCUGGUGUAAAAACUACCAUGGGUGGCGUAUACACCGGUCUAAUGGUGCUCAUUUCUCUGCAAUUUUUCACGCCUUAUUUCACCUAUAUACCAAAAGCCGCUUUGGCGGCGGUAAUAAUAGCCGCGGUCGUCUUCAUGGUCGAAUUUCACGUCAUCAAACCGAUGUGGCGAACCAAGAAAAUGGACCUCAUACCCGCCAUCACGACUUUCCUUUGCUGUUUAUUCAUAAGAUUGGAAUUGGGCAUCGUUAUCGGGAUCGGUGUCAAUCUUCUGUUCCUUCUCUACGCCUCUGCCAGACCGACGCUGCACGUUCACAAAGCUGUGAGCACCAGCGGAUACGAGUACCUCGUAAUCACCCCCGACAGAAGCCUGGUCUUUCCUAGCGUUGAAUAUGUAAGAGCUGUUAUCAGCAAACAGGGAUUACGACAAGGAAAUGCCGUUCCUGUUGUCAUUGACUCAACGCACAUACAAGCAGCUGACUUUACCGCUGCCAAGGGUAUCAAAAGCCUAGUCGAGGACUUUGCUGGACGUGGACAACCGCUAUUAUUCCACAACUUGAAACCGAGCAUAGUUGAAAUAUUCCGUGGCGUCAGACCCUCGGAACUUAAAUGUAGCGCGAGUGAAACUGAACUAAACGAUUACCUCAAAGAAUAUUCCAAUCCGUCCACAACUUCCCCUGCAAGACACUGAAACGGAGGAACCCGAUAUUACGGCUUUGGCGAGAUGCCAAAUCAACAAUCAUUGUCGGUUAAUGAAGCUCGUCGGUGCACUUGCAAUAGUUAAUUCCCAUCUCUCUGGCUCCUGGGCCAGGCGUCGCUACGUAAAAUGUUGGGGUGCCCGAGUAUCUGAAGAAAAGAAAAUCAAUGAAUGCCUUGCAGUAUUUGGAAUAUACAUGGUGACGGUGCAGCCCCCAAAGCCAGCUCCGGUCAACCUACUACCCAAAACACCGUCUACCUCUCUGGCUGCGGAGACGAGGGAGUCCAGUUCCUCGGACGACACC